UCAGGUCAUGAUCUCAGGGUCCUGGGAUCAAGCCCCAUGUUGGGCUCCCCGUUCAGUGCAGAGUCCGCUUGGAAUUCUCUCUCCCUC